rnacentral:lncRNA from 1 species
AAUACUCAAAGCGUGGAGUGGACAAGUGAAUUCUACCCCUUUGGGUCAACCAUCUCCCUGACCUCAGCGGUUUAAAAACCACCACAUAGAAACAAGCUGCGCACAGAAACGAGGUUGUGCCAGAAAGGAGCGGGAAGACUCCGGAGAAGAGAUCCGGUAUAGUUUAGCAGCUCUGGCUGAGCCAGAGUAGACUCGCGCCCUGGCGCAGUACCCUCUCCCAGGUCACCAGGCGUGGAAUGAAAACCGCCUUUUCGCUCCAGAAAAGUGACCCCAAGAGUCGUCCCUCGCUGCAAGGUUGGCAGGGAUCUGACUUAGCUUUCCUAAAAAAAAAUUAAAACGGUAUUGAAAGGCCCACAGAGGACCCAGCACACAGGAGCCCAGACAAACAGCUCUGGCGCUCCCUUCUUCGCUUUUGGAUCCUGCCUAUGAGAGAGAAAAAAGAAGCCCAAGGGAUCCGGGCAUGUCUGUGCACCUUGUACAUGCCUGAUAUCUACAGAGGCCAGAGGAAGAUUGCAGAUCUUACAGAGCUAGAGUUACAGAUAGUUGUGAACCACCAUGUCUGUUGGUGAGAUCUGAAGCACCACUAAUGUUCACAUAACCUAAGAAGACCAUCAAGGAGAGGCGGCGCCAUCUUCGGCUCCAGACAACCGGCCACCUUCCUGGCGAGAGCCACAGAGCUUCUGAGGCAGCGCCAUCUUCAGCUCCAGACAACCGGCCACCUUCCUGGCGAGAGCCACAGAGCUUCUGAGGCAGCGCCAUCUUCAGCUCCAGACAACCGGCCACCUUCCUGGCGAGAGCCACAGAGCUUCUGAGGCGGCGCCAUCUUCGGCUCCAGAAAACCGGCCACCUUCCUGUAUAUGUCCUACAGUGUUGAACAAAACACAAGAAGAAGAUAUUUGGGGCCAUGAAUAACUCAAGGACCCAGCCAGAUCUCAACAGUGGCACCUGCCCAACCUGCCAUUGUGCAAGUUUCUGCCACAUACUUUGAGAAGACACCUUCAAAGCUUAACAGGAGACCCUUUCAUCCUUGUAUGUAUAAUAAGAAAAUAUAUUAUGGUAUAGUGCUUCAUCUCUGAUUUGGGGUUUCACUGUGGAUGCUAACUCAAUAAUCAUGAAUUUAAAAUGCUGUCACAGAGAGUCCUGGCUGAAGGGAGGGUCACAGAGAGUCCUGGCUGAAGUUGGAGUUACAGAGAAUCCUGGCUGAAGGGACAAAGCUCAGAGAAUACAUUUAACAUCCCCUAGGUACCCAAUAUAUCCAUGAAUUUGUAUGUGACACAAAAACCUAGACAGGGAUAGGCACAUAUUUUCUUUCUUGCCUCUUCAACAACAACCCUAAAGUAAUUGGACCAAAGUGUGACCUUGCUUUGAUUGCUUUCUCAUUUGGGGUUCAUAUCUGAGCUCUCAAGCUUUCUAAUUUACGUAAUUGGAAUGAACUUAUGGGGCAAGUAUUUUAUGAAAGUACUCUGCGUAAGAUCUUAAAUUAUUGGAAAUAAUUUACCUCAUGAAAGAUAAUAUUUCUAGUAAUGUACAAAACCUAGAAAAAUUCUAAAAAUCACCAAAGAGAUACAAAACAAAGUAAGACUACUCAAAAAGUGAGGGUGUCUACUUGCUGUUGAAGGUAUUUUAUCUGUAUUAAUGUCUGCCACAUAGUAAAACACAUGGCUAUGUAUGAAAGGUAUGUUUCUUAACUAUUGCCUUGUAGAAAUUAUCAUUGUGUUGGAGGCAUAAACACGUCUGUGCUAGUUAACUCACAGCGUGUGUCAUGAGCUUAGGUGUGGUGUACUUGUGUUCUCUCAUUGAGGGUCUUUCAAAAGGUUGUGGAUGGUAUUGACUACUAAUACAGUUAUAGGCGUCAAUCUAAAUGACUGAAAAGUGAAGGAUCUGCUUUCCAGACACUCAUGUUUAUUGGUAGAAUUUCAUCUUUUCAAUGAAAAUUUUCAUUUUUUGCACUGACAGUUUUCUUGAGUCCAUUUCAUUUUCUUGUCUCAUAAACCUCCAAGAAAACCAUUAGAGGUGCUAAAGGGGAAGACAGAAAGGGCCAAAAUGGCAAGACAGAAUCAUAAAUAAUAGAGAAGUUGCACUCACUCAACUCCAAAAUAUUCUGGUUAGAAGCCAGUUGUGUAAAGAAUGGUUUUACUUUAUUUCAUUAAUAUCAGGAGGGAACAUCAUAGAGACUAUCUAACAAGGUCUGUGCUCAGACCCCCAGAUAGUCUUCUGAGUGCACAAAAACACCCUGUUCCUUGAGAAUACAAGAUAAUUUUACAAUUUAAUCUAAAUCCAAGAUCUUGCCUUCAAGGUAGGCUCAAGUGGGGAUGAGUUCACUUGAUGGAGGAAGUUAGCUGGGACACAUCUCUGUAUCUAUAGACCUGGGACACGAGGGAAACAAGUGUUCUCUACCAAGCCAGUGUGCCACAGGAUAAUGACAUUACAGUUUCCAGAAUGUGGAGAAGGUUGGUGAGACAGCAACCAUAAUAAUUUUGAAACUGAGCUAAGCAAAUAUUGAAUGGUCCUUGAUUCUGUUUCCAGGACAGGGCACGGCUUUGGUGGUCCUGGCUUUAGCCUCUAGGUGCUUUUGUUGACCUUAUUUCUCCACAAUAUUCUCAGUUUGUGUUAUGCAAGGAGAAACCUACCUGAGAACUAGAUCUUGUGUACUCCUGUUCUGACUAGUUUUUCUUUCAACCUAUUUUACCAAUACUUUAGUGCUGUAAUUUCCUUGCAGAUUUGAAAAGACUUACUCCAUGGAUCUGGAGAAGCCUUUCUACUUUGGGUUCUGCUGACAAGGUUUAGGGACUAUGCCAUACAGCUCUCACCAUGACUUGUGCUUCACUGAAGGGUUCCUUCAGCAUACCCUGAGUUGCUUGAAAUGAUGGGAUUUGCAGCAGAAUAUUCAAAUGCCUUAUCUGCCUGAGCUUUUUCAGAAAUUUGUGUACGUCUAUCUACACUCACUCUGUUAUCACUAACGAAGGCCCUAUAACCCAUUUUUUUUUCCUGGUCACUCCUAGAAAGUACUUUUAAAUUUUUUCUUUGCCUAAACAAAGAGGCUUAGUUAGCUCAUGAUGAUCAUUCCCUGUAGUUUUUUUUUUUAAACUAAUCAAUCCCCCAGUUUAUUGUCUCUUGCAUAUAAGAGGCGAGAAGAAACCAGGGACACCCUUAGCAGUUUGCUUGAAUAGUUUAUUGGGUAAUUUUUCAUGAUUAGUGUUAUUGACAUGUAAAUUUUCCUCAGCUUUGUGCCACUUGAGAAGACUCUGUCCCCCUGAUUUUGGAGAAUAUUCUUAUUCCUUUUGAGACUUCAUUACCAGUAUUUUCUAAGUUCAGACUGCUAUCCAGAUCCUUAUGGAGGUGACUUACACAUUUUGUAUUAUUAUAUUUCACAUCUUUCUAGCCUCUGACUGUACAUGCUCUGGUGACACUUCCAUACUUUCUGAAACUGUUCAAAAGUAUUCUUCUAGGCAGCAAAAUGUAUGUUAUUCAUCUAUUGCUGUGUAACAAGUACCAUCUAACAAGUAGGAUAUGACCAUAUACAUUUAUUUACUUUGUUACAGUUUGUCUCAGUCUCAUACCCAGUGACUUAAGGGCCCUCUGUUUCUAGGACUUGCUCAAUGAUAUAUCUAGGUGCUUCAAGGGUUCUGAACACUUAAUUGAAAAAAAAAAUUCUAUACCAAGCUCAAAAUGCCCACUAUUGGACUAAAUACUUGUGGCCCUGCCUGGGCCUUGAUCACAAGCAUACCUCAGUGCUUUGUUAUAUGAAUCUCUUCAAUAUGGCCCCUUAUCAUGUGAAUCCAUGAGGUCAGAACAGUAAAAGUACGUGUUAGUGAAUGGAAACAACAGUCCCAUUAAACUUAAUCAUUUAAGAGAUAUAAUUUUUAUAUUCCAUUUAUAUUCCAAUGGGUAUGAAUUAUAUCAGAAAGUAAACAAUUAUCACCUAUCCCCCAAAUAAGCCUUCCUAGUAAGGUUGAGAGAGGCAGUAAUCUAUAGUUAUAGAAAUAAGAACUUAGGGUGCAAUUUAAUACUAUAUACAUUAAUAGGAUAUUACCAGAUGCUCCUUUAGGUCUGAGAUUUAACUAUCCAUAGAUUUUUGGCCUAACUAAUGGAACCAUAUUUGAGGUCUGUCUUGUGGAGUAGUCUUGAAAUCUAUCCAAAAAGUGCUUGGUCACCCCCAUAACAUUUGUACCACCAAUAUAUUACUGCAUAUCCUUUCCUAGUCAGUCAUUAUUAUAGCUCACAGGGUUGACAUAUGGGUGUGUUGAUGACUUUUCUCCCCCAAGUAGCAUGUUGUAGUAACAUUCUUUGUGAAUUCUAGAAUUUUGGUUUCUUUAAAACAAACAAACAAACAAACAAACAAACACAGGAAUAUAAGAACAUGCUGUUAUUUUAAUCUCAGCUAUAGGGAUGUGGGGCAGCUUUGGACUAUCUGCAGCAGCUGACUAUGAUUUGCCCCAUGCUCUAGCAGAAGUGUGGUUUUUCCAGCAACAGAUAGCUUCUGUAAUUGUGUGAUAUUUGGACUUCUUGAAACUUUUCAGAGGUGUAUAAAUGCUAGAACCCUGAUAGGUGUAAUGGUUGUUGAUAUUUUAGGGAGAUUGGUUGUGGUUUGUUAGUAGCCAUGACCAGAGAAGAAGCAAAAGGAAAGAAUUUAGAUUCAGGUUUCCUAAUUCCUCUUCCCUCUCUAUUUUUCUCAUAUCUAGUAUUAAGGGGUGAAACAGCAGGGAUAAAGGGGGAAACUAAAAAGAACCCACAAAAUAGCAAAGACCAGCUACAGCAUGUAUUAAACCUAUCAUUAUGAUAGGUAGACAGUAGAGAUGAAUCUUCUAGAUCAGUAUCAUCUUCAUUUCUCCAUGUCCUAUCAUCAAGUAUGAGAUGUUUUAAGUAACUAAUGCCGAUGGAAAUGGCCUGUAAUUUGGGGGCUGUUUACUGACCUCAUUGACCAACAACUC